CCUACGGGUGGCUGCAGUGGGGAAUAUUGGACAAUGGGGGCAACCCCGAUCCAGCCAUGCCGCGUGUGUGAAGAAGGCCCUCGGGUUGUAAAGCACUUUCAGUGAGGAAGAACGCCUGGUGGUUAAUACCCAUCAGGAAAGACAUCACUCACAGAAGAAGCACUGGCUAACUCCGUGCCAGCAGCCGCGGUAAUACGGAGGGUGCGAGCGUUAAUCGGAAUUACUGGGCGUAAAGCGCGCGUAGGUGGCUUGAUAAGCCGGUUGUGAAAGCCCCGGGCUCAACCUGGGAACGGCAUCCGGAACUGUCAAGCUAGAGUGCAGGAGAGGAAGGUAGAAUUCCCGGUGUAGCGGUGAAAUGCGUAGAGAUCGGGAGGAAUACCAGUGGCGAAGGCGGCCUUCUGGACUGACACUGACACUGAGGUGCGAAAGCGUGGGUAGCAAACAGGAUUAGAUACCCCAGUAGUC
rnacentral:rRNA from 1 species